AUUGAACGCUGGCGGCAGGCCUAACACAUGCAAGUCGAGCGGAUGAAGGGAGCUUGCUCCUGGAUUCAGCGGCGGACGGGUGAGUAAUGCCUAGGAAUCUGCCUGGUAGUGGGGGAUAACGUCCGGAAACGGGCGCUAAUACCGCAUACGUCCUGAGGGAGAAAGUGGGGGAUCUUCGGACCUCACGCUAUCAGAUGAGCCUAGGUCGGAUUAGCUAGUUGGUGGGGUAAAGGCCUACCAAGGCGACGAUCCGUAACUGGUCUGAGAGGAUGAUCAGUCACACUGGAACUGAGACACGGUCCAGACUCCUACGGGAGGCAGCAGUAGGGAAUAUUGGACAAUGGGCGAAAGCCUGAUCCAGCCAUGCCGCGUGUGUGAAGAAGGUCUUCGGAUUGUAAAGCACUGUAAGUAGGGAGGAAGGGCAGUAAGAUAAUACCUUGCUGUUUUGACGUUACCAACAGAAAAAGCACCGGCUAACUUCGUG
rnacentral:rRNA from 1 species